GUGUUGCGUGAAAGGAGAGAUUAGCACUCCCCUUGAUAAGGAUGAAAGAUGUCCUAGUGGCCUUUACAACACAUACACGGUUAUGGAUAGACUUGGACCUGGGCUAGUCCGUGGCCAGUACAGAUG